rnacentral:rRNA from 1 species
AUUGAACGCUGGCGGCAGGCCUAACACAUGCAAGUCGAGCGAGCGGCGGACGGGUGAGUAAUGUAUGGGAAUCUGCCCGAUAGAGGGGGAUAACUACUGGAAACGGUAGCUAAUACCGCAUACUAUCAGAUGAACCCAUAUGGGAUUAGCUAGUAGGUUGGGUAAAGGCUCACCUAGGCGACGAUCCCUAGCUGGUCUGAGAGGAUGAUCAGCCACACUGGAACUGAGACACGGUCCAGACUCCUACGGGAGGCAGCAGGGGGGAAUAUUGCACAAUGGGCGCAAGCCUGAUGCAGCCAUGCCGCGUGUGUGAAGAAGGCCUUAGGGUUGUAAAGUACUUUCAGCGAGGAGGCGUUACUCGCAGAAGAAGCACCGGCUAACUCCGUGCCAGCAGCCGCGGUAAUUC